CCUACGGGAGGCAGCAGUGGGGAAUUUUGGACAAUGGGCGAAAGCCUGAUCCAGCAAUGCCGCGUGAGUGAAGAAGGCCUUCGGGUUGUAAAGCUCUUUUGUCAGGGAAGAAACGGUGAGGGCUAAUAUCCCUUGCUAAUGACGGUACCUGAAGAAUAAGCACCGGCUAACUACGUGCCAGCAGCCGCGGUAAUACGUAGGGUGCAAGCGUUAAUCGGAAUUACUGGGCGUAAAGCGUGCGCAGGCGGUUUUGUAAGUCUGUCGUGAAAUCCCCGGGCUCAACCUGGGAAUUGCGAUGGAGACUGCAAGGCUAGAAUCUGGCAGAGGGGGGUAGAAUUCCACGUGUAGCAGUGAAAUGCGUAGAGAUGUGGAGGAACACCGAUGGCGAAGGCAGCCCCCUGGGUCAAGAUUGACGCUCAUGCACGAAAGCGUGGGGAGCAAACAGGAUUAGAUACCCUGGUAGUCCACGCCCUAAACGAUGUCUACUAGUUGUCGGGUUUUAAUUAACUUGGUAACGCAGCUAACGCGUGAAGUAGACCGCCUGGGGGAGGUACGGUCGCGAAGUAGUAAACUUACGAAGUAAGUUAGUUAGNGNGNGAGNGCGAGGACGACGACGAGGAGGAGG
rnacentral:rRNA from 1 species